GCCAUCACCCUGAACUGUCGCAAUCCAAUGCGCGCGUUCUCUUUAUUGAGAUAGGGGUGGUGGUUUUU
rnacentral:ncRNA from 1 species